rnacentral:rRNA from 1 species
GAUGAACGCUGGCGGCGUGCCUAAUACAUGCAAGUCGAGCGAACAGACGAGGAGCUUGCUCCUUCGACGUUAGCGGCGGACGGGUGAGUAACACGUAGGUAACCUACCUAUAAGACUGGGAUAACUUCGGGAAACCGGAGCUAAGACCGGAUAAUAUUUCGAAACGCAUGGUUCGAUAGUGAAAGAUGGCUUUUGUAUCAAUUAUAGAUGGACCUGCGCCGUAGUAGAUAGUUGGUAAGGUAACGGCUUACCAAGGCAACGAUACGUAGCCGACCUGAGAGGGGGAUCGGCCACACUGGAACUGAGACACGCUCCAGACUCCUACGGGAGGCAGCAGUAGGGAAUGUUCCGCAAUGGGCGAAAGCCUGACGGAGCAACGCCGCGCGAGUGAUGAAGGUCUUCGGAUCGUAAAACUCUGUUAUUAGUGAAGAACAAACGUGUAAGUAACUGUGCACGUCUUGACGGUACCUAAUCAGAAAGCCACGGCUAACUACGUG